UGCUCCAAUAAAUAACUUAUGAUACCUCAAAAUGCCCCAAGAUGUCUAUAAAGCUAUAAUAUACUCCAUAAUAAUCCAAAUAUCACCAUUGCUUUUCAAAAUAUCCUCCAAAGCUCCAAGUCUUCCAAAAACUCUAAAAUCAACCUUGUCAUCUUGCACCAUCAAUCCAAAUAACCACAUACAAAAUCCAAUACCUUCCACCCCAAAUGUUCACGUCGGAUUCACCACUUAUGUCGUA
rnacentral:lncRNA from 1 species